rnacentral:rRNA from 1 species
UUGAAGAGUUUGAUCAUGGCUCAGAUUGAACGCUGGCGGCAGGCCUAACACAUGCAAGUCGAGCGGUAGCACAGAGAGCUUGCUCUCGGGUGACGAGCGGCGGACGGGUGAGUAAUGUCUGGGAAACUGCCUGAUGGAGGGGGAUAACUACUGGAAACGGUAGCUAAUACCGCAUAACGUCGCAAGACCAAAGUGGGGGACCUUCGGGCCUCAUGCCAUCAGAUGUGCCCAGAUGGGAUUAGCUGGUAGGUGGGGUAACGGCUCACCUAGGCGACGAUCCCUAGCUGGUCUGAGAGGAUGACCAGCCACACUGGAACUGAGACACGGUCCAGACUCCUACGGGAGGCAGCAGUGGGGAAUAUUGCACAAUGGGCGCAAGCCUGAUGCAGCCAUGCCGCGUGUGUGAAGAAGGCCUUCGGGUUGUAAAGCACUUUCAGCGGGGAGGAAGGCGGUGAGGUUAAUAACCUCAYCGAUUGACGUUACCCGCAGAAGAAGCACCGGCUAACUCCGUGCCAGCAGCCGCGGUAAUACGGAGGRUGCRAGCGUUAAUCGGAAUUACUGGGCGUAAAGCGCACGCAGGCGGUCUGUCAAGUCGGAUGUGAAAUCCCCGGGCUCAACCUGGGAACUGCAUUCGAAACUGGCAGGCUAGAGUCUUGUAGAGGGGGGUAGAAUUCCAGGUGUAGCGGUGAAAUGCGUAGAGAUCUGGAGGAAUACCGGUGGCGAAGGCGGCCCCCUGGACAAAGACUGACGCUCAGGUGCGAAAGCGUGGGGAGCAAACAGGAUUAGAUACCCUGGUAGUCCACGCUGUAAACGAUGUCGAUUUGGAGGUUGUGCCCUUGAGGCGUGGCUUCCGGAGCUAACGCGUUAAAUCGACCGCCUGGGGAGUACGGCCGCAAGGUUAAAACUCAAAUGAAUUGACGGGGGCCCGCACAAGCGGUGGAGCAUGUGGUUUAAUUCGAUGCAACGCGAAGAACCUUACCUGGUCUUGACAUCCACAGAACUUUCCAGAGAUGGAUUGGUGCCUUCGGGAACUGUGAGACAGGUGCUGCAUGGCUGUCGUCAGCUCGUGUUGUGAAAUGUUGGGUUAAGUCCCGCAACGAGCGCAACCCUUAUCCUUUGUUGCCAGCGGUYMGGCCGGGAACUCAAAGGAGACUGCCAGUGAUAAACUGGAGGAAGGUGGGGAUGACGUCAAGUCAUCAUGGCCCUUACGACCAGGGCUACACACGUGCUACAAUGGCAUAUACAAAGAGAAGCGACCUCGCGAGAGCAAGCGGACCUCAUAAAGUAUGUCGUAGUCCGGAUUGGAGUCUGCAACUCGACUCCAUGAAGUCGGAAUCGCUAGUAAUCGUAGAUCAGAAUGCUACGGUGAAUACGUUCCCGGGCCUUGUACACACCGCCCGUCACACCAUGGGAGUGGGUUGCAAAAGAAGUAGGUAGCUUAACCUUCGGGAGGGCGCUUACCACUUUGUGAUUCAUGACUGGGGUGAAGUCGUAACAAGGUAACCGUAGGGGAACCUGCGGUUGGAUCACCUCCUU